UACAGAGGGUGCAAGCGUUGUUCGGAAUUACUGGGCGUAAAGCGCGUGUAGGCUGCUUGGAAAGUCGGAUGUGAAAGCCCUGGGCUCAACCUAGGAAGUGCAUUCGAAACUUCUGAGCUUGAGUAUCGGAGAGGAAGGCGGAAUUCUCGGUGUAGAGGUGAAAUUCGUAGAUAUCGAGAGGAACACCGGUGGCGAAGGCGGCCUUCUGGACGAUUACUGACGCUGAGACGCGAAAGCGUGGGGAGCAAACAGG
rnacentral:rRNA from 1 species